CGCGUUCUUUCGGGCGGCGCAGACGGAGCUGAACGUUGACAGAAGAGCGCGCGCCCAGUCCCGGUGAAGAAGCUCCGUUAUUGCGAGCAAGACAGAGAGACAGGAGGAAUUAGACACAUAACACACUCAUACACACACACACACAGGAAGCCGUGCGGGCCUCGGAGAAAGGGUCACUCACUCACUCACUCACUCACUCACCGCCUCUAAACUGUCGCCUAAAAAAAGGAAGUAAAGGACAAAUCGGCUGAAUCUCAGCAGAGCGCCGCGCGACCGGGAGCUGCCUUUCUUUUCCCAGUAACUUGUGGAAUUUAUCGAGCGAAACUAAAAAAGAAAAAGAAAAGUAUAUCGGUCUACCUCUGUGCCCUCGUGUACGUUUUUAUCUCACGUAUAAUUUCAAUUAUAAUUAUUUUUUUUGCCAGCAGAAUAACAGUCGUUCUAACGUAAAACCCGCGCGGCAGUGACAGGAAGCAGAGAGCUUUUCUCCAGCACGCGCAUUUCCAGAAGUGCGACGAACACUUGCUUCUUCUUCUUCAGCGCUUCUUUACUAGUCGAUUUCAUAUUUAUACGCUGUUUGUUUUCUCGGUGUAUCCUGGGGCCUGGGCUGUGAUUUUCUUGGAAUAUGGUGGGGGAAAUGGAAACGAAGGAGAAGCCGAAGCCGAGCCCAGACUAUCUCAUGCAGCUGAUGAACGACAAGAAGCUGAUGAGCAGCUUGCCCAACUUCUGCGGCAUCUUCAACCACCUCGAGCGCCUCCUCGAUGAAGAGAUCAGCAGAGUACGGAAAGACAUGUACAACGACACGUUAAAUGGGAGCACAGAGAAGAGGAGCUCAGAGCUUCCCGACGCGGUGGGUCCCAUUGUACAGCUCCAGGAGAAGCUUUAUGUGCCUGUUAAAGAAUACCCUGAUUUUAAUUUUGUGGGACGGAUCCUUGGCCCUCGAGGUCUUACGGCCAAGCAACUGGAGGCUGAAACAGGAUGCAAGAUCAUGGUGAGAGGCAAAGGCUCCAUGAGAGACAAGAAAAAGGAGGAGCAGAACCGUGGCAAACCCAACUGGGAGCACCUGAACGAAGACCUGCACGUCCUAAUCACAGUAGAAGAUGCUCAGAACCGUGCUGAGAUCAAGCUCAAACGAGCCGUGGAGGAAGUCAACAAGUUGCUGGUGCCUGCAGCUGAAGGAGAGGACAGUCUGAAGAAGAUGCAGCUGAUGGAGCUGGCCAUUCUCAAUGGCACCUACAGGGAUGCCAACAUUAAAUCACCUGCCCUUGCCUUCUCUCUUGCAGCGAGUGCCCAGGCCCCGCGCAUCAUCAGCGGCCCAGCGCCCGUGUUGCCCCAAGCCGCCCUGCGCACUCCUGCUCCUGCUGGCCCCACCAUCAUGCCCCUAAUUCGGCAGAUCCAGACUGUCAUGCCCAACGGUUCAGCCCACGCCCAUGCAGCCGCUGCCACCUUGGUGCCUCCCGGCCCGGAGUCAGCUGGCCUGAUUUACGCCGCACCCUAUGAAUAUCCAUACACACUGGCACCAGCCACCUCCAUCCUUGAGUACCCCAUCGACUCCAGUGGCGUGUUAGGUAAGCACAGUUGUGAGUGCCCUGGCAUGCCACCUCACCAACACCAGCACCCACUUGGGCAAUGGGGUGCAGCGCCUACCUUUCUCCUGCGUCACUCUUCUUAAACCCCGAACACACCACACACCCCCACCUCUUUUCCCAUCACCUUAGGAAAAAUAAAUAGGCAACAAAAUAGCACUGCAAACAUUUUCCCACUUAAUCCAUUUAGUUUAAUAAAAGUCAUUUCUCAUUGCAAAUAAAACAUACUAAAGAAAUGUGCCAUAAACGAUUGGGCUGCUAAGUGCUCUGUUGGCUUUAUAUGAAGUAUAUGAGAGGGAUCUUUUUUGCUUUCCACUCUCACUCUUUCUCCCUCCCUCUUUCUCGCACGCUCUCUCUUUCUCGCUCUCAGAGGCCCUGUCCUUCCCUCUCCACACAAGCUCUAUGGCUUCAUUAAGGCACUUGAGAAAAGCCGAUUAUGAGUAUCAUGUUACAAACAGCAUUCUGCCAGUUUAACACAAGCUGCUCCCAGAGGCAUAGUGUUAAGUUGAGAAAUGACAAAAAAGUACGUCCAUGAGGCAAGAUCAGCGUGUCCAAUGAGAUGAGCCAGAGCAGGGUUUAGUCUUUGUCUAAUAAAGCAGCCUUUAUUCUGCCAAGAUCAGGCUGACUGUUCCAAGUGUUCUAAGCCCAGUAUAGUAGCGGUAUAUUAGAGACCUGCUUUUAGUAGCUUUGGUGUUUUGGUUUGAUCAUGACGGCACUUCAUUGAGACAGCAAAGGAGGUGAGGAGUGUUGUGGCGGGAGGAGAGUGGAAGAUUUCAUCCAUGUCUUCUCUCUUGUGUACACCUAUACAGCAUCCUCAAAGGCCGAAGAGCUGCCGCUGUACCUGGGCUUUCAGACCUGUCACUUUCCCAUCACUGUGCAGCGUGCAGAGCCAGCCGGCCGGCCUCCUUUUUAAAGCAGACCCACUUCCCUCAUUCCCUUUCCUGACCCUCACUCACCCUGCACAUUCCCCCCUUCGACACCCUCACGUCCCCCUGCAAACACUCAACUUAUUGGACUGACCGGAAAGCACUCCCUAUUCCAGGAGCCUUCCAAUGUUUGUUUCUUCUGCGACCUGAAGCCUGUUUUGUUUUUGGUUUAUUUAAUGUCAUGUGUUAAAACUGUGUGUAACAUAUUAAGGGAGAAAAAGCACUGAGCCCCAAACUGCUGCAAACCCUCUCUGGAUGCUCCCUCCCUUGUUGCGGAGGGUGCAUCUGGAGAGGUAACAUGAAGAUGGUGAGGGGACAGUGGGGGUCAGGCAGGGGCUGCUUUGGGAGUCAUGGGAUGGUGGGAUUGUUCUAAAAGUCAGACCUAUUCAAGUUCUACUCACACAGAUGGUGCUCUGUGGCAGUGAGUUCCAAGUUUGUUUACAGUGUAAUUAGAACCAAUAUGAAAACCAUAGCCUUAUGCAUGCAGUGACCAAAUCUAGAAUCUCUGCUUUUCAAAGGUCUUAAACAAAGCUCGAAAAUGGCUUUGGUAACGCAUGGAAUUGUACUGUGUGUUGCUUCUUGAGGACAGACACUCCUCUCACUAAUUUCACAUUCCCUUCCUUUAUUCUUUAGGUGUGGCUUUCCCCACGAAAGGCUAAAAGUGCUUUCGAGGAUCCUUACUGAGCCCCUCAUCCGAUCUGAGUGUUAACACACAUGCGCUUUCGUUUCACAGCGGCCUUGUUAUUUCUUGAGUGUUAAAGAAUUAUGAAAUCAAGCCUAGCAGUCAGUCGGACACACUACUGUUUUGUUUACACUGGCCGGCCCUCUGCCCAAAGAGGCUCAGCGUAUGCUUAGAAAUAUUGUAUCUGUGCCUGAUGCCCGUUCAGCAGUAAAGGAAUCUGUGUGUAUGUGUAGAUCACAGAACUGUUCCACUGACUGCUAUGUUUUAUGGUUUUGGAGAAAAGAGAGUAAAAAUCAAGAAGAUUGCUUUACUAAUCACUUUAAUCAUUGCCCUUGUAUUUUCUACCCUUUUGUUUUUACUACUGCACAUGUGCCUACGCACUAUCCUCUCUGUGUCUUUGCUCAGAGAGUGAGUUUAUCAGUAUUAUAUUUAAAUGUGGAACUGGAGAGAUGCACUUCCCUUUUGCUUCAGUGCAGGAUUAUGUGACUAGUAAAGCUCCCUUCUCUCUCUGUCACUCUCUCUCUCUCUCUCUCUCUCUCUCUCUCUCUCUCUCUCUCUCUCUCUCUCUCUCUCUCUCUCUCUCUCUCUCUCUCUCUCUCUCUCUCUCUCUCUCUCUCUCUGUCUAUAUGUGUGUAUUCGUCACUAAUGUCCAUUAUAUUAUCCAAGCAUGGAUCCACCACUUGGAAUGAAUGCAAAUUUUUUUCCACUUUCAAUAUGCUACUUUCAAAAAUGAAGUAUUAUUUGUGCCUUAACUUGUAUUUUUUUAUUAUUUGCAUAAGAACUGUUACACAUAUUUGGCCACACAGAUAAAUGAAAUCUGUUCAAUUUGAUUGAUUUACUUGAUGGGAUUAUUUUUUAUCUAAUCUGUGUAUUUGGUGAUAUUGUUGCAAUCCAAGCAGGUGCAGUGGCAACUAAAGUUCGAAGGCACGAAAUGCGGGUCCAUCCUUACCAAAGGGUAGUGACCACAGACAGAGCCACCACCGGCAACUAACCCCUGACCUUCUGACUUCUCAACUUCAUCCAAUGAUGACCUGCUCAUUGCCCGCCUGCAGAUCACUUCUCUGCUCUAAAAACACAUCAAAUGAGUGAAUAAUAGAAAGAAAGAAUGAAAGAAAAAAGAAAGAAAGAAAGAAAAUGAGCAUUAAACAGCUUUCACUGCACUGACAGUGGAGAUGCAGCGUCUCUGCACCUGAUCUGUGGACACGAAGCGAAGCCUGGAAGACACCCUCCAGUUCGAAAGGUCUGUAGGGAGCGGACCAUCCUGCUACUGUAGACCUGCACUGAGUCAUUUGUAAGCAAUAAGCAAUAACGGUUAGCCCACUCGGACCUGAUCCUAACACUUACACCACAUACUCUACAGCUCCACAACACAUGAUACAUGGUGUUCAGAGCUCCAUGCAUACACAGAUCCAGCCUUCAAGAGUGAAAAAAGAAAAACAGCCCUUGUUGCUCCGGUCGUUACCCAGGUGUGACGGUAACACAUCUAUCUGAAUGUAUUCUGUGAUGGUGUGGCAUCAGUGCAUGCACCUUUCUGUCCCUGUCCAUUGGCUGUGUAAACUGGUCACAUUAAAACUCUGUGUUCUUUUCAGAAAACUGAUAAAGGGAUGAAAUGGAACUUUGACUCAUACGAAUGAGAUCUGGCGCAUCAACAUAGGCAGUGCAAAAGCGAAUGAUGAGCAUAAAGAGGUGUGUUUAGCAUUUUGCCCAACAAACAAUCGAACACUUUUCAGUGGACGUGUUUUUCUGAGGAUGUAUAAGCCAUGCUUGCCUACCUGCUGUACAAAUGUAUCAAAUUUGUAGAUAAAUGUUUAAAGAGGGAAAAAAAGAAACAAGUUAAAAAUAUAUAUACAGAAAACUUUUAAUAUCCUCCAGUUCAGGGGAAGAGAAAGUAUAUAUUUUUACAAGUCAAUCUUUUAUAAGUAUUGUAAAGUAAAAAUGAAAAAAAAAAACUGAACACUGAACCCUUUAUGUGAAAACAAUCCGGUUUUCUGUAAUUGGAUGUAGAAACGGACGACCAAAUCGACCUUUACCUUCUGCUGACGGGGGUUGAACAGAAACAUUACAAAGUGCCUUAUUGUGGUUCUCAUGGUUUCUUCAAUCUGAAUGUGUCAUCGUUAGUAGCGAUUGAGCAGGCUGGCACACGGUGCACACAGCUUUCUCUGACGACAAGUCGUGCAGUCUUCUCUUCUUUCCCCUUUCAGUUCAAAAUAAAUCAGUGAUUAUUCAAGACGUGUAAUAUUUCUCUGAAUGUAAAUCCUAAAUCUGAAUCCUAAUCCUUAAAUCCUCUACUAGGAAAUGUAAAUUGCUAUAUGAGCUCUUUGGGAAAUUAGUAUGCUUAAAAAAGUUUCAUGCCCCCAGCCUCUGACAUCCGGACUAUGAUUUAUGUUGUAGCCAAUAUUCCACCUGUGCUCCUUUAAUAGUCUGUAAACCUUUUCGGUGGAAUUUAUCAUCUUGUGUUUUCAGCCGAACGCUAACAAAUGAUGCCACUGUGAAACAUUGCAAUAUGAGUGAACUGCCACAAAGUCUGAGCCAAAAUCACUGUAUUUUUCACCGGAAGCUGUGUGCACUGCUCAUGCUGGGCCGCACCAUGUUGCGUGUGUCAUUUCCCCCAAAUCUUUCUUUACUAUGCAACAAAAUGGCCUCUGAUGUCUUGUGGGGGGGUCAUUCAAUAUGUCUUCCUGUACCAUCUUCACAUCACUUCCGCUUUCAGUUUGAAUUAUGCAGUACAGUGAGCGUACUAUUGUAGUUAUGAAGGUAUUAAAGUUGAACUUAAAGCUUGUAUUUUUGGAAUAAGAUGAAAAUAGCCCGUAGGUAAAUAAAUAAAUAAAUAAAUAAAUAAAGCAUUGUUGCUUAGUAGUUGAGAUUAUGAAAAAGGUUGAAUUUGAAAAUAUUCUAUGGAAAAAAGCUUGACAGUACAAUAACAGGUUAGCUCUAUCUGUGAAAGAGCCACAUCCUACUAAAUAUCGCAUGAUAUUCCACCCUAGAUAGCAAUUAAAGUAUAAAACUGGUUUGUGUUGGUUACUGAUUACCCCCCCCCCCCCACUUCUUGAUUUUAUUUCAGUAAAUGUUCUUUAUUACAUGAGUGAAUAAGUGUAUUCCACACAUGCAGACAUAAGACUGUGUUAGAUUCAUGCUAUGUUGUGCCCCUACCCAGGUAUUGCCUAUGAAAAAAAAAAAUGUAUGUCUGUAUCAACAGCCAUUGUUACAAGUUUAUACCUUAUUUUUCUAUCUUAUUUUAUAUGUACGUAAUAAACUACAUUAAAUGCCUUGUCUCA